rnacentral:rRNA from 1 species
AUUGAACGCUGGCGGCAUGCCCUACACAUGCAAGUCGAACGGUAACGGGCCUUCGGGUGCCGACGAGUGGCGAACGGGUGAGUAAUGCAUCGGAACGUACCUUUCAGUGGGGGAUAACGUAGCGAAAGUUACGCUAAUACCGCAUAUUCUGUGAGCAGGAAAGCAGGGGAUCGCAAGACCUUGUGCUGAUUGAGCGGCCGAUGUCAGAUUAGCUAGUUGGUGAGGUAAAGGCUCACCAAGGCGACGAUCUGUAGCGGGUCUGAGAGGAUGAUCCGCCACACUGGAACUGAGACACGGUCCAGACCCCUACGGGAGGCAGCAGUGGGGAAUUUUGGACAAUGGGGGCAACCCUGAUCCAGCCAUGCCGCGUGAGUGAAGAAGGCC